rnacentral:rRNA from 1 species
UACGUAGGGGGCAAGCGUUGUCCGGAAUUAUUGGGCGUAAAGCGCGCGCAGGCGGCUGUUUAAGUCCGGUGUUUAAGCUCAGGGCUCAACCUUGGGACGCACUGGAAACUGGGCAGCUUGAGUGCAGGAGAGGGAAGUGGAAUUCCACGUGUAGCGGUGAAAUGCGUAGAGAUGUGGAGGAACACCAGUGGCGAAGGCGACUUUCUGGCCUGUAACUGACGCUGAGGCGCGAAAGCGUGGGGAGCAAACAGG